rnacentral:sRNA from 1 species
UGGCCCUCGGGGGAUUCACUGUUAUACUUGGAGGCCAUGUCACCUGAGAGUCAAUGGGCAACGAUCAAAUUUCACCUUGAGCAGAUUCUUUUGUUUGCUUUUUAGUCACAAAUAGCUUGGCCCUAAGUGGUGGCUCCCAUUCUUGUAAGAUGCGUUUAUUCAUCGUGUAAUCACCAGUUCCCUGUAGUGGGGGCGUGGAUGGAGUGUCAGAGGCUCCUGCUGGUCUUUAGGGUGUCUGGCCUCCAGGAAUCCUAGAGGUAGUAUUUGGAGAGAUUUUUAAAAGCUUUGUUUCUGUGACCAGCAAAACCUGGAUUUGACACUGAGGUCAGCCCGUUUCAGCCAGUGACGUAACCUGUCUUUUUGCCCCAGUAAAUUGGGAACUACAGCACUCGAUGUUAGAGUUGUCGUGAAGAUUAAAGAAGGUGACGACUGGACAACUCCCAGCCCAAUACCUGAAACUGUACCAGCACCCAGUGAGCACUGCUAUUCCUGUGACUGCUGCACAUUUGCCUUAUCUCAGCAGUAUGCCUGUGUCACUUUUUUGGCACUCUUUUCUCAUGGGUACAUUCAGAGAAGAGGAAUGUUUGUUCACUGGUGAAGAGAACAUCCCGUGUACUAUCGUGUAGAAGUUGUAGUAGACGCUGUGGUCUUUCCAACAACAAACAAAGGCUGAGAGCUCCAAGGAGCUGUGAAUCACACCUCCGACUCCCCCCAGGGUACAGGAACGGGGUUCAGAAUGCUCUUCCCAAAGCUGCUGGGACAGGACCCAGGAGGUUCCGGAGGAUCAGGAGGUCCACCUGGGAGAAGAGCUGAUCGGCUAGUAGGAGAGCUGGAAAAGCAACAGACACCUCCUUAGUCCCUUCCCUGGGGCCCGGCUCCAGUCUGAGCUGUCACGCCACAGCAAAGGCAUCACUUCAGGACAGCAAAGCCCCUGUCUCCCUCCCUUCCAGCUCCUCAGACUUCACCCUGGUAACACGUUUGUUUAAAAAACAUAUUUUUCCCCCUUGUAAAGAAUCUAGGAUACACGGGGUCAGCCCAGCAGUUUAGGUAUCAUGAAGAAACUGCUCUCGGAGCUAAAGUAAGAAACAGUGCCUGUCUAUAGCGCAAAUAAAGAGUUGGAACAAGAUAAAA